UUUGAUCUCAAAUCACGUAGGACUACCCGCUGAACUUAAGCAUAUCAAUAAGCGGAGGAAAAGAAACUAACA
rnacentral:rRNA from 1 species